rnacentral:rRNA from 1 species
AGUGAACGCUGGCGGUAGGCCUAACACAUGCAAGUCGAACGGCAGCACAGUAAGAGCUUGCUCUUACGGGUGGCGAGUGGCGGACGGGUGAGGAAUACAUCGGAAUCUACUUUUUCGUGGGGGAUAACGUAGGGAAACUUACGCUAAUACCGCAUACGACCUACGGGUGAAAGCAGGGGAUCUUCGGACCUUGCGCGAUUGAAUGAGCCGAUGUCGGAUUAGCUAGUUGGCGGGGUAAAGGCCCACCAAGGCGACGAUCCGUAGCUGGUCUGAGAGGAUGAUCAGACACACUGGAACUGAGACACGGUCCAGACUCCUACGGGAGGAAGCAGUGGGGAAUAUUGGACAAUGGGCGAAAGCCUGAUCCAGCAAUACCGCGUGGGUGAAGAAGGACUUCGGGUUGUAAAGCCCUGUUGUUGGGAAAGAAAAGAAGCAGGUUAAUACCCCGCUGUUCUGACGGUACCGAAAGAAUAAGCACCGGCUAACUUCGUG